CAGUCGAGCGAACUGAUUAGAAGCUUGCUUCUAUGACGUUAGCGGCGGACGGGUGAGUAACACGUGGGCAACCUGCCUGUAAGACUGGGAUAACUUCGGGAAACCGAAGCUAAUACCGGAUAGGAUCUUCUCCUUCAUGGGAGAUGAUUGAAAGAUGGUUUCGGCUAUCACUUACAGAUGGGCCCGCGGUGCAUUAGCUAGUUGGUGAGGUAACGGCUCACCAAGGCCACGAUGCAUAGCCGACCUGAGAGGGUGAUCGGCCACACUGGGACUGAGACACGGCCCAGACUCCUACGGGAGGCAGCAGUAGGGAAUCUUCCGCAAUGGACGAAAGUCUGACGGAGCAACGCCGCGUGAGUGAUGAAGGCUUUCGGGUCGUAAAACUCUGUUGUUAGGGAAGAACAAGUACAAGAGUAACUGCUUGUACCUUGACGGUACCUAACCAGAAAGCCACGGCUAACUACGUGCCAGCAGCCGCGGUAAUACGUAGGUGGCAAGCGUUAUCCGGAAUUAUUGGGCGUAAAGCGCGCGCAGGCGGUUUCUUAAGUCUGAUGUGAAAGCCCACGGCUCAACCGUGGAGGGUCAUUGGAAACUGGGGAACUUGAGUGCAGAAGAGAAAAGCGGAAUUCCACGUGUAGCGGUGAAAUGCGUAGAGAUGUGGAGGAACACCAGUGGCGAAGGCGGCUUUUUGGUCUGUAACUGACGCUGAGGCGCGAAAGCGUGGGGAGCAAACAGGAUUAG
rnacentral:rRNA from 1 species